rnacentral:rRNA from 1 species
AACGCGAAAGUUUUCUUCGGAAAGCGAGUAGAGUGGCGCACGGGUGAGUAACGCGUAAGUAAUCUACCCCUGUAUUUGGGAUAACCCACCGAAAGGUGUGCUAAUACCGGAUACGUCUGAUUUAAUACCUUUUUUUCAGAGAAAGGUGGCCUCUUCAUGAAAGCUACUGUACAGGGAGGAGCUUGCGUACCAUUAGCUAGUUGGUAGGGUAAUGGCCUACCAAGGCAACGAUGGUUAGCGGGUCUGAGAGGAUGAUCCGCCACACUGGAACUGAAACACGGACCAGACUCC